AAGACUAUGCUUUCAGGGAUCAUUUCUAUAGUUUCUGAUUUGGAAGUUUGAUUUGAAAGUGUAACGUCUGUCUAACCACGAUGACGAGUUAAGAUGCUUUCUUCUGAGCGUGAAUCGAGCGACGAGGGAGAUUGUCUGUUUUCUGUUAUUGAUGAACGUUCUUGCUGUGCUUUGCAGUGUGGAAGAAGAACGCAUGUUCAGAGUGGU
ensembl:snoRNA U3 Small nucleolar RNA U3